rnacentral:snRNA from 1 species
AUCGCUUCUCGGCCUUUUGGCUAAGAUCAAGUGUAAAACAAAACUAAAAUGAACUAAAUACCAUGGAUUGGCUAAUGCCUAUCCUGGAAGUAAAAUAUGCACAGCAUUUUGGAAUAAUGUCACUCUCCAUAU